AAAAAAAAAAAAAAAACAGAAUUUCUGUUGAAACUAAAACUGAUUUCUUGCUUUUCUUUCUUACUUUCUGCAUUACAUGGCUAUUUGUAGAGUCAAAAUAUCACACGGUUUUUACCUGAUUAACUAAGAGAGGAAUGGAGCACCUUACUUAGAAGAUUAGAAAAUCUAGAAAAUGCACCAUGAGAGCAUAUAUGAAAAUUAGUUCUUAUCUAGGGUAAAAGACGCAAAAGGAAAAGUGAAUCAUAUGAGCUAUCCCAAAGGCUAACUUGAACUUGAAGCAAAGUGGAUUAAAAGUUUCAUGGUUUGGUGUACUUGAAAGCUAGCAAGCUUUACAGGAAGGCUAAGGUACCCAAAUUUUGACAUCAUGCAGGUUUUCAAAAAGAAAUAGUUGUCUUGCUUGAUUCUUGAAUAUAGCCUUAAUUAAUAUUUAAGAUGCCAAAACUGCAAGAGAGAGAAAUCGGAGUUCAAAUACCAAUAGCAUACCUCAAGCUGUUCAUGGAGUCGCCU
rnacentral:misc_RNA from 1 species